rnacentral:lncRNA from 1 species
GUGAUGUGAGGUGCGAAUGCAUAGAUGUUAGUCAAACAAGAUUGGCCACAAAUUUGUUCAGAAAAAACCUUAUUUUCUCUUUGUUUCUCUUUUUUUUGCUCUACUAGAUCUAUGGUGCGCGAAUAACUAGUGAGAUGUUCUAAAUUAGAGAUUAUAAUGAGCAAGAACAAACAACUUUCACUUGAAUGAGAAUGUGUACAUAUACACAAAAUAUUGAUGAUAUAAGGAAUAUUGCCCCUCAGUGGUAAAGAAAUGUAAAAAUGAAAGAAGAAAAGUAUGCCUAUUAUGAUGAUCAUGAUCCAAAUUCUUUACUCUCUCAGAGAAUUAUUUUUUUAAGGACUAUACCGCAUUGUGAAGCAUUUGGACUGAGCAUUCCCUUCCUUGCUCUCUGAAAAAUGAAAAUGAUCUUUCCCGUGCUGUCAUAAUAUACCUCUUUUUGAGCUGCACAUCAUUUGAUGGUAGUCUCCCUUAAUAAUUUAAUUCUGUCAUGGAAGACUGGACUAGAUACUACUGCACUUCUAUUGUCAUUCUUGAACAAUUCCUAUCUCUUUUGAAAGAGCAUGAAUCCAAAUCAAUUCACACAGGUGGCGACUCAUAUCUAGCUCUUGCACUUUAGCUUGACAUUGUGCUUUUUUAGUUCCAAAAGAGAACAGUGGAAUCCUCUUAACUGCGAACUAUAUUGUAACUUAGAAUUUGAAAACUAAUAUUCAAG